rnacentral:rRNA from 1 species
GAAUGCUGACAUAAGUAACGAUAAAGCGGGUGAAAAGCCCGCUCGCCGGAAGACCAAGGGUUCCUGUCCAACGUUAAUCGGGGCAGGGUGAGUCGACCCCUAAGGCGAGGCCGAAAGGCGUAGUCGAUGGGAAACGGGUUAAUAUUCCCGUACUUGGUGUUACUGCGAAGGGGGGACGGAGAAGGCUAUGUUGGCCGGGCGACGGUUGUCCCGGUUUAAGCGUGUAGGUGUGUGUUCCAGGUAAAUCCGGUUCACUUUAACACUGAGGCGUGACGACGAGGCACUACGGUGCUGAAGCAACAAAUGCCCUGCUUCCAGGAAAAGCCUCUAAGCAUCAGGUAACAUCAAAUCGUACCCCAAACCGACACAGGUGGUCAGGUAGAGAAUACCAAGGCGCUUGAGAGAACUCGGGUGAAGGAACUAGGCAAAAUGGUGCCGUAACUUCGGGAGAAGGCACGCUGACACGUAGGUGAAGUGAUUUACUCACGGAGCUGAAGUCAGUCGAAGAUACCAGCUGGCUGCAACUGUUUAUUAAAAACACAGCACUGUGCAAACACGAAAGUGGACGUAUACGGUGUGACGCCUGCCCGGUGCCGGAAGGUUAAUUGAUGGGGUCAGCGCAAGCGAAGCUCCUGAUCGAAGCCCCGGUAAACGGCGGCCGUAACUAUAACGGUCCUAAGGUAGCGAAAUUCCUUGUCGGGUAAGUUCCGACCUGCACGAAUGGCGUAAUGAUGGCCAGGCUGUCUCCACCCGAGACUCAGUGAAAUUGAACUCGCUGUGAAGAUGCAGUGUACCCGCGGCAAGACGGAAAGACCCCGUGAACCUUUACUAUAGCUUGACACUGAACAUUGAGCCUUGAUGUGUAGGAUAGGUGGGAGGCUUUGAAGUGUGGACGCCAGUCUGCAUGGAGCCGACCUUGAAAUACCACCCUUUAAUGUUUGAUGUUCUAACGUGGACCCGUAAUCCGGGUUGCGGACAGUGUCUGGUGGGUAGUUUGACUGGGGCGGUCUCCUCCUAAAGAGUAACGGAGGAGCACGAAGGUUGGCUAAUCCUGGUCGGACAUCAGGAGGUUAGUGCAAUGGCAUAAGCCAGCUUGACUGCGAGCGUGACGGCGCGAGCAGGUGCGAAAGCAGGUCAUAGUGAUCCGGUGGUUCUGAAUGGAAGGGCCAUCGCUCAACGGAUAAAAGGUACUCCGGGGAUAACAGGCUGAUACCGCCCAAGAGUUCAUAUCGACGGCGGUGUUUGGCACCUCGAUGUCGGCUCAUCACAUCCUGGGGCUGAAGUAGGUCCCAAGGGUAUGGCUGUUCGCCAUUUAAAGUGGUACGCGAGCUGGGUUUAGAACGUCGUGAGACAGUUCGGUCCCUAUCUGCCGUGGGCGCUGGAGAACUGAGGGGGGCUGCUCCUAGUACGAGAGGACCGGAGUGGACGCAUCACUGGUGUUCGGGUUGUCAUGCCAAUGGCACUGCCCGGUAGCUAAAUGCGGAAGAGAUAAGUGCUGAAAGCAUCUAAGCACGAAACUUGCCCCGAGAUGAGUUCUCCCUGAGACUUUAGGUCUCCUGAAGGAACGUU